GCGGUUUUACAAGUCUGUCGUUAAGCGUGGAGCUCAACUCCAUUUCAGCGAUGGAAACUGUAAGACUCGAGUGUGGUAGGGGCAGAGGGAAUUCCCGGUGUAGCGGUGAAAUGCGUAGAUAUCGGGAAGAACACCAGUGGCGAAAGCGCUCUGCUGGGCCAUAACUGACGCUCAUGGACGAAAGCCAGGGGAGCGAAAGGGAUUAGAUACCCCUGUAGUCCUGGCCGUAAACGAUGAACACUAGGUGUCGGGGGGAUCGACCCCCUCGGUGUCGUAGCCAACGCGUUAAGUGUUCCGCCUGGGGAGUACGCACGCAAGUGUGAAACUCAAAGGAAUUGACGGGGGCCCGCACAAGCGGUGGAGUAUGUGGUUUAAUUCGAUGCAACGCAAAGAACCUUACCAGGGCUUGACAUCCUGCGAAUCCCUUGGAAACGAGGGAGUGCCUUCGGGAGCGCAGAGACAGGUGGUGCAUGGCUGUCGUCAGCUCGUGUCGUGAGAUGUUGGGUUAAGUCCCGCAACGAGCGCAACCCACGUCUUUAGUUGCCAGCAUUUAGUUGGGCACUCUAGAGAGACCGCCGGUGACAAACCGGAGGAAGGUGUGGAUGACGUCAAGUCAUCAUGCCCCUUACGUCCUGGGCUACACACGUACUACAAUGCUACGGACAAAGAGCAGCAAACUCGCGAGGGCAAGCAAAUCUCAUAAACCGUGGCUCAGUUCAGAUCGUAGGCUGCAACUCGCCUACGUGAAGGAGGAAUCGCUAGUAAUCGCAGGUCAGCAUACUGCGGUGAAUACGUUCCCGGGCCUUGUACACACCGCCCGUCACACCAUGGAAGUUGGCCAUGCCCGAAGUCGUUACUUCAACCCGCAAGGGAGGAGGAUGCCGAAGGUGGGGCUGAUGACUGGGGUGAAGUCGUAACAAGGUA
rnacentral:rRNA from 1 species